rnacentral:rRNA from 1 species
AUGCCUCUCAAAUUUUGGGAUGAGGCUUUUCUCACCGCUGUUCAUCUUAUUAACAUGUGGCCCAGUCGCACUAUUUCUCAUGAAACUCCCACUGAACGUCUUCUUCAUAUCACACCAGAUUACACCGCCCUUCGUGUUUUUGGUUGCGCAUGUUGGCCAAAUCUUCGUCCAUACAAUACUCGAAAACUCAUGUAUCGUUCCAAACAAUGCGUUUUUCUUGGCUAUAGUAUGCAACACAAAGGUGUCGAGUGCCUUGAUGUUUCUACAGGUCGUGUGUACAUCCCACGUGACGUCGUUUUUGAUGAGACUCAGUUUCCCUUUGCAUGUCUACACCCCAAUGCCGGCGCCCUCCUUAGGAAAGAAAUCCUUCUUCUCUCAUCUCACCUUUCCGGCGUUUCGUGUGCGGGUGAUGAUAGUUGCGCUGACCAAAAUAUGACUAAUGUAUCUCCUGUUAUCCCUGAGUUUACUGUUCUAGGCAGAAUCGGCGAAGAAAAUGACGCAGAAAAUGGUGCAUCAGGGAGCCCCAGCGUGCAUGCAGGCGAUCCGGUGGAAUCAGCCUCGGGAUCGACCCGGCUGGACGCGUCCGAUCCGACCACAUCCCCCUCGGGAUUGCCAUCGAGUCAGCCGGCUCGGGGCCCUCCACCAUCUCCCGCCCCGCGCCUCUCUUCAGGAGAUGCUUGUCGCCCUGCCUCCGCACUGGACUCCGCGGGCGCCGCGCUCCAAUCAGCAAUGGGGAGCCAGCCAACCGCGCGGUACGCGCCGGUCCCGCAGAUGUACUCCAGGCGCCUCCCGCGGGCCACCCUGUCCUCUGCACCAGGCGCGCCAGACGGGCCCGCUGCUGGAUCCGAUGAUGAUCCUGUCCCUCCGCCCGGAUCUUCUGCGGCCUCGCCCGUCUCUCCGUCGGCCGUUCUGCCACAGCAGAUUCGGCGGGGUCUGGUGCUGCUGAUGCUGCUGGAUCCUCUGCGGCUACACCACCGCUCGUCUCCACGCCUCCUCGUACACGUCUUCGUGACGGCACCAUACAACAGGUCAACUACAAAACUAAGUAUGGCCUAG